rnacentral:rRNA from 1 species
GCUUGCUGGUGUGGAUGAGUGGCGAACGGGUGAGUAAUACGUGAGUAACCUGCCCUUGACUCUGGGAUAAGCCCGGGAAACUGGGUCUAAUACUGGAUGCUACAUGUCACCGCAUGGUGGUGUGUGGAAAGGGUUUACUGGUCUUGGAUGGGCUCACGGCCUAUCAGCUUGUUGGUGAGGUAAUGGCUCACCAAGGCGACGACGGGUAGCCGGCCUGAGAGGGUGACCGGCCACACUGGGACUGAGACACGGCCCAGACUCCUACGGGAGGCAGCAGUGGGGAAUAUUGCACAAUGGGCGAAAGCCUGAUGCAGCGACGCCGCGUGAGGGAUGACGGCCUUCGG